rnacentral:misc_RNA from 1 species
UUUCCGUAGGUGAACCUGCGGAAGGAUCAUUAAUGGGAAAUCAAAUCAAAACAAAUGUUCUGUUGCACUGGGUGUGCUGUGUGGUGGUGGUGUGAGACAUGGAGAUUCAAUCAUUGGAGAUUCAAUCAUUGGAGAUUCAAUCAUUGGAGAUUCAAUCAUUGGAGAUUCAAUCAUUGGAGAUUCAAUCAUUGGAAUUUCAAUCAUUGGAGAUUCAAUCAUUGGAAUUUCAAUCAUUGGAGAUUCAAUCAUUCAAUCUCAAUCAUCGCCACACAACACAACUAUCUAUCACACUCGAUCAACAACAACACACUCACACACAACAGCAAACAACUUUUAACAAUGGAUCUCUUGGCUCUU